rnacentral:rRNA from 1 species
UACGUAGGGUGCAAGCGUUAAUCGGAAUUACUGGGCGUAAAGCGUGCGCAGGCGGUUUUGUAAGUCUGACGUGAAAUCCCCGGGCUCAACCUGGGAAUUGCGUUGGAGACUGCAAGGCUGGAGUCUGGCAGAGGGGGGUAGAAUUCCACGUGUGAGCAGUGAAAUGCGUAGAGAUGUGGAGGAACACCGAUGGCGAAGGCAGCCCCCUGG